rnacentral:tRNA from 1 species
GGGCGCGUAGCUCAGCUGGGAGAGCGCUUGGGUCACAACCAAGAUGUCGGCGGUUCAAUCCCGUCCGCGCCCA